GGCUCAGGAUGAACGCUAGCGGCAGGCUUAAUACAUGCAAGUCGAGGGGCAGCAUGACUGUAGCAAUACAGUUGAUGGCGACCGGCAAACGGGUGCGGAACACGUACAGAACCUUCCUUCGAGCGGGGGAAUAGCCCAGAGAAAUUUGGAUUAAUACCCCAUAGUACAUUAGAGUGGCAUCACUUUGAUGUUAAAGAUUUAUCACUUGAAGAUGGCUGUGCGGCUGAUUAGGUAGUUGGCGGGGUAACGGCCCACCAAGCCUGCGAUCAGUAACUGGUGUGAGAGCACGACCAGUCACACGGGCACUGAGACACGGGCCCGACUCCUACGGGAGGCAGCAGUAAGGAAUAUUGGUCAAUGGACGAAAGUCUGAACCAGCCAUGCCGCGUGGAGGAUGAAGGUCCUCUGGAUUGUAAACUUCUUUUAUAUGGGACGAAAAAAGGGUUUUCUAACUCGUCUGACGGUACCAUAUGAAUAAGCACCGGCUAACUCCGUG
rnacentral:rRNA from 1 species